CAGUAGCCACGGUAAGACAGAGGAUGCAAGCGUUAUCCGGAAUGAUUGGGCGUAAAGCGUGCGCAGGCGGUUAUAUAAGUCAGAUGUGAAAUCCCCGGGCUCAACCUGGGAACUGCAUUUGAGACUGUAUGGCUAGAGAGUGUCAGAGGGGGGUAGAAUUCCACGUGUAGCAGUGAAAUGCGUAGAUAUGUGGAGGAAUACCGAUGGCGAAGGCAGCCCCCUGGGAUAACACUGACGCUCAUGCACGAAAGCGUGGGGAGCAAACAGGAUUAGAUACCCCCGUAGUCCCUGUCUCUUAUAC
rnacentral:rRNA from 1 species